rnacentral:rRNA from 1 species
UACGAAGGGGGCUAGCGUUGUUCGGAAUUACUGGGCGUAAAGCGCACGUAGGCGGAUUUCUAAGUCAGGGGUGAAAUCCUGGAGCUCAACUCCAGAACUGCCUUUGAUACUGGGAAUCUCGAGUCCGGGAGAGGUGAGUGGAACUGCGAGUGUAGAGGUGAAAUUCGUAGAUAUUCGCAAGAACACCAGUGGCGAAGGCGGCCCUCUGGUCCAGUACUGACACUCAAGUGCGAAAGCGUGGGGAGCAAACAGG